UACGUAGGGUGCAAGCGUUAAUCGGAAUUACUGGGCGUAAAGCGUGCGCAGGCGGUGAUGUAAGACAGAUGUGAAAUCCCCGGGCUCAACCUGGGAACUGCAUUUGUGACUGCAUCGCUGGAGUGCGGCAGAGGGGGAUGGAAUUCCGCGUGUAGCAGUGAAAUGCGUAGAGAUGCGGAGGAACACCGAUGGCGAAGGCAGCCCCCCUGGGCUAACACUGACGCUCAGGCACGAAAGCGUGGGGAGCAAACAGG
rnacentral:rRNA from 1 species